GACGAACGCUGGCGGCGUGCCUAAUACAUGCAAGUAGAACGCUGAAGGAGGAGCUUGCUUCUCUGGAUGAGUUGCGAACGGGUGAGUAACGCGUAGGUAACCUGCCUGGUAGCGGGGGAUAACUAUUGGAAACGAUAGCUAAUACCGCAUAACAGUAGAUAUCGCAUGAUAUCUACUUGAAAGGUGCAAUUGCAUCACUACCAGAUGGACCUGCGUUGUAUUAGCUAGUUGGUGAGGUAACGGCUCACCAAGGCGACGAUACAUAGCCGACCUGAGAGGGGGGUCGGCCACACUGAGACUGAGACACGGCCCAGACUCCUACGGGAGGCAGCAGUAGGGAAUCUUCGGCAAUGGACGGAAGUCUGACCGAGCAACGCCGCGGGAGUGAAGAAGGUUUUCGGAUCGUAAAGCUCUGUUGUUAGAGAAGAACGAGUGUGAGAGUGGAAAGUUCACACUGUGACGGUAUCUUACCAGAAAGGGACGGCUAACUACGUG
rnacentral:rRNA from 1 species